AGCAGCCGCGGUAAUUCCAGCUCCAAUAGCGUAUAUUAAAGUUGUUGCAGUUAAAAAGCUCGUAGUUGAAUUUCGGGGUCAGUAGGUUGGUCGUGCCACUGGUACGUACUGGUCUCACUGAUUCCUCCUUCCUGAUGAACCGUAAUGCCAUUAAUUUGGUGUUGCGGGGAAACUGGACUGUUACUUUGAAAAAAUUGAGUGUUUAAAGCAGGCUAACGCUUGAAUACAUUAGCAUGGAAUAAUGAAAUAGGACGUUCGAUCCUAUUUUGUUGGUUUCUAGGAUUGACGUAAUGAUUAAUAGGGAUAGUUGGGGGCAUUAGUAUUCAAUUGUCAGAGGUGAAAUUCUUGGAUUUAUUGAAGACUAACUACUGCGAAAGCAUUUGCCAGGAUGUUUUCAUUAAUCAAGGACGAAAGUUAGGGGAUCGAAGACGAUCAGAUACCGUCGUAGUCUUAACCAUAAACUNUGCCGACUAGGGAUCGGAUGAUGUUAUUUUUAUGACUCAUUCGGCGCCUUACGGGA
rnacentral:rRNA from 1 species